UACUUCAUAGUGUAGAUGGUUAUCACGCUAGGCUUUCACCCUAGAGGUACGUAUUCUACGCAUCUUCGCGCCCAUCGCACGUGAACACGCGAACGGACACGUUGACACCAAAAAUUGUGAACGCGACACUGACGGACACGCCACGCGCUUCCACGAACAGACUCGGGUUCGAAUCCCGGUGAGGUAA
rfam:Ostreococcus lucimarinus CCE9901 chromosome 11, complete sequence.